AGCGAACGCUGGCGGCAGGCUUAACACAUGCAAGUCGAGCGCCCCGCAAGGGGAGCGGCAGACGGGUGAGUAACACGUGGGAACGUACCCUUUGGUUCGGAACAACCCAGGGAAACUUGGGCUAAUACCGGAUACGUCCGUAAGGAGAAAGAUUUAUCGCCAAAGGAUCGGCCCGCGUCUGAUUAGCUAGUUGGUGAGGUAAUGGCUCACCAAGGCUACGAUCAGUAGCUGGUCUGAGAGGAUGAUCAGCCACAUUGGGACUGAGACACGGCCCAAACUCCUACGGGAGGCAGCAGUGGGGAAUAUUGGACAAUGGGGGCAACCCUGAUCCAGCCAUGCCGCGUGAGUGAUGAAGGCCAUAGGGUUGUAAAGCUCUUUUAGCAGGGAAGAUAAUGACGGUACCUGCAGAAAAAGCCCCGGCUAACUUCGUGCCAGCAGCCGCAGUAA
rnacentral:rRNA from 1 species